CAGCCGCCGCGGUAAUACCGGCGGCCCGAGUGGCGGUCACCAUUUUUGGGCUUAAAGCGUCCGUAGCCGGGUUGGGAAGUCCUCCCGGAAAUCUGGCCGCUUAACGGUCAGAAUGCCGGAGGAUACUCCCAGCCUAGGGAGCGGGCGAGGCCGAGGGGAUUUCCGGAGUAGGGGGGAAAUCCUAUAAUCCCGGGAGGACCACCUGUGGCGGAGGCGCUCGGCUGGAACGCGUCCGACGGUGAGGGCCGAAGGCCAGGGGAGCAAACCGGAUUAGAUACCCGGGUAGUCCCGGCUGUAAACGAUGCGGGCUAGCUGUUGGGUGGGCUUAGAGCCCACCCAGUGGCGCAGGGAAGCCGUUAAGACCGCCGCCUGGGGAGUACGGCCGCAAGGCUGAAACUUAAAGGAAUUGGCGGG
rnacentral:rRNA from 1 species